GAGUUGGACGUUCGGGAAAGAAGACCUCCCGUUGGAUAUCAGUCAAAUCUGUCAAGGUUUUCGACGCUUGAAAGUUGACCCACUUGAAGUUCGACACCGAGGACUCGUUGCUAAGUUGACGUAGCUGAAGUUGAUAACCGAAGAUUCGUCACACUUUAGAAGUUUAUUUAGCUCCGAACUACUUCACUUGUGAUAAAGAUGAAGACCCUUUUCUACAUCCUGAUUUUACUCGUGGCGAUUGGCACACUGGUCUCUGCUAUGCCUCAGAGUCACUUUACCGGAUUCAGGCACACUUCCAGGCAAAGAAAUAAUGGACAACGAAGCCGUAUUGGGAGAAACAUCAGGAGUGAAGGUGUCUUGAACGUGGAAGACAACUUGCAAGCAGUACAAUUUACGUAAAAUUAGCGCCAUUUUUAUACCGUGCUGCAGUAUCGAAGGACUUGAAAUUCGUGCCAUUUGACGAUCCAUAAGGCGCCAUCUUUCUACCUGAGGAUGGCUAUCUUGUGGCCGAAACGUUUAAGUCGCUCGUCCGUAUUUCUGUAUUAUCCCUGUGAAAUUGUGAAAUGACUUGAUAGGGUCGAUUAACAACCUGUAAAAAACUGCAUCGUUUGU